AAAGGAACCAGGUUCGUAUUUUUAAUGC
rnacentral:sRNA from 1 species